rnacentral:lncRNA from 1 species
AACAAGGUCAAAAGGUUAUCUCAGGUCAGCUCAAACCUCACCGCCAUGGACCACCGCGUCAAAAAUCGCCUCCGACGCGGUGGCCACCAAAAAUACCAAUUGAAUACACCAUUGAAACCGUUUCAAUCUCCUCUUCACAAAUAUCUCUCCAAUUUCUCUAUAUUCUUUCUCUAGCUCAAAAAAUGAUACAAAGUCCUCAAUAACCCUAGCCUCUUAAUCUUAAAUUAAACACUGCUCUCAAAGAAUCAAAGCCCAGGGGUUUGGGACUCUGAUUCCUCGUGCCCUAAAUCAUAUUCCGGUAUCAAGUUCAGUGUGAAAUGAGGAAGAAGAGCUCACCUGUGAAAUUCUUCGGCGAUGGUUGUGACGACGACAAUGAAAGGAGAUCAGGUACGUGCUUCUGAAAUUUCCUCUCUUUUUCUUCUAUACUUUCUUCCACUUCGUCUUCACUAUUCUUCUACUUCAGUCGUUGUUCUUCUAGUGAGAUUUGUGAGGAUUCGUCAGAGUGAAUUACGAAAUUGAGAGGUCAAUGCUCAACUAUCUAAAGCUUCGGAGGUUGAAGCUCUAAAAAAAAUGGUGUAGAGCGUGUGGUGAGGGUGAGGGUUCGAAUAUUUAUAGAGAGAGGUUGGAUGAGAAUGAGUGAAAAAUAUGGAGAAUGAUUCGUGAUUGGAGAUGAAUGUGAGAGGUUUUGUUAUUGGUGAUGGUGAAUGAAUAUAAAGUGAAUGAGAAGGUGAUGAUGAUGAGGAUUUAUAGUUGGUUAGGGACUUAAGGAUUGGUGGUGGAUUCAGUUAAGAUUCAUUUGGGUUAGUUAUUUCUGUUAGGUUCAGUUUGUUAUGAUUUGGGGAUUGAAAAAAUCUAUUAAAUGCUUAGGGGUCUGUGAUAACCAAUUAGACUCAGUCACUCCAAUGAAUUUAGAGAGUGAGAGUUAGUCAUGUAGCUGCUUCUGAUUUCAUGUCCCUCGAGGCAAUCAGCUAGGAUCGGUUUUGGCAAUGAUGUGGCAAGCUGCAAAUUGCUUUUGAAUUGAUAUGUGUGAAUGCUCUUUUUUUGUCACUGCCUUGAUUUUGCUAUGCUUUUGAUGCAUUGAGGUGAUAAGAUGACUGAUGUGAAUUGUUGUGCGUUAGCUUGAAUCCCAAUUAAUGCCAAGUUUUGUUAAUGAAAUUGAAGCGAAAAGCAAAUGAUGCUCAGUUCGGCUAAUCUACUCGAUGUAGUAAAGUACUCAAUUGCAAUUAGCUUUAUGGUUAGAACAUAUCUGCUGAAUGUUGUGUAUGUGUCUGUAAGUUUUAUGAAAUGCAGGUUACAUGUAUAUAUGUCCAUGAUGUGCUUGCUAAACUUGCUCGUUUACAUGAAAUGUGUGCCUAGUUGUAGUUUGUCCUCAUGCAUGAAAUAUCAAGCCUAUCAUGAGCAUGUCCUGAUAUUGCUAUCAUGUUAUGCAUUAUGGCUCAUAAGUUCCCUCUUGGCAUGUUGUUUAUUUCUUUAUGGUAUGCAUUAUGGUUCUGUCUUGGACCUGCUGUCAUCCUGUUAUGCACCUUGGUUCUGACUUGGACAGGUUGUACAGAUUCAAUGGCUAAGCUAGUUUAAAGGAGGAUGGUGCUGAUGUCUGCAGAAGUAACCAUUUGGCUUGGUCAAAACCAUGGGCCAUGUAGUUAGGAUCAAGGUAUCUAAAAUUAGUUAUUAGUUUAUGUUUUCUUCGAUGGUUCAUUUGUAACUAUGUGAAGUAUUAUUUUGGAUCAAUAUUGUGAUGCAUUAUUGGUUUAUGUUUUGGAUAAUGCAGGGCUGCAAGGAUCUUCAAGUUAUGGCUAUCCCAAGCUCAACCAUGUUCAUGGCAUGGUGACUACAAAAUGGAAAAUCAAGUCCACAUGGCUAAAUCAAGAUCAAAAUGGACAUGGAGGGUGAAAUUAGAGCUUAGGAUUUGGACAUUUAUUGGUUUAGGAUAAAAAAGAAUUCGGGUUGACUUUGGUCAAAGUUGACCAAAAAGUCAUCUAUUAACCAAAGUCAACAAUUAGUCAACAUGUAAUUUUUUGGAUUUUUUGUGUAUGUAAUGGACUUUUAUGAAUAAAAUUGGCUAUUUGAAUGAAAAAUUAAUGGUUUUAGUGUA